UAUUCCCAUUGACCUAUUAGAUAUGGACUGCCAGGAGCAGGUUCAAGCUAUAGUGGCGCCCCUUGGUAAGGCAGCGGGAAAUAGUAUUUUUUGAAUUUUAUGUUUCCCAAGAACAAAAAGAUGGAAAAACAUUUUAAAAUAAAAGGCACGACUGGGUC